rnacentral:rRNA from 1 species
AGAACGAACGCUGGCGGCAGGCCUAACACAUGCAAGUCGAACGCCCCGCAAGGGGAGUGGCAGACGGGUGAGUAACGCGUGGGAAUUCCCCCCUUGGUACGGAAUAACUCGGGGAAACUCGAGCUAAUACCGUAUGAUCCGGUAACGGCAAAGAUUUAUCGCCGAGGGAGAAGCCCGCGUUGGAUUAGCUAGUUGGUGAGGUAAUGGCUCACCAAGGCUACGAUCCAUAGCUGGUCUGAGAGGAUGAUCAGCCACACUGGGACUGAGACACGGCCCAGACUCCUACGGGAGGCAGCAGUGGGGAAUCUUGGACAAUGGGCGCAAGCCUGAUCCAGCCAUGCCGCGUGAGUGAUGAAGGCCUUAGGGUUGUAAAGCUCUUUCACCCACGACGAUGAUGACGGUAGUGGGAGAAGAAGCCCCGGCUAACUUCGCGCCAGCAGCCGC